GAGGCGGAGAAAGAGAGACCGGAGAGCGGGCUGUCUUCUGAGAAGUCGGAGGCGAUUGUAUAAACCCCCACUUCCGUCUGCUAGCAAACAUGCAAUCUUUGGACAAUAAAAGAAAACGGAGUCGUGGCUGAACAACGACAAUAUCAACAUACAGCUGGCUGGUUAUACGAUAGAACAGCGGCGUCUGUGGCAACGAUGAUGAUUAUGAACAUGGUAUUUUGCCUGCUAAUGCCUGCAGUGAAGAAAAUGAUGACAACAAUAACGUCUAAUGUAACUGGCCCCUGUAACAGUACAACUGGCCCCACUCAUCACAUUUGCAAGGAUAAAAAGCGGGUGCAAUAGCUGUGCGCGCAGCCCGCUGAAAAAGGGGGACCUCUACAGUUGCGAGCGUACACGGCACACAUGCCCUUCCGGUGCCAGUGCGAGCGGUUUCAC